rnacentral:lncRNA from 1 species
UAAUUAAAAUAUACUACUUCACAUAUAUAUGCUUCAAAUAUGUUUUACAUAAAGUUUGACACCGUUAAGACUAGUGGCCUUGCCACGUAGAUAAAACUUAAAAUAAAAGUACAUGAAGAAAAUCAAAAGAAAGCUUAACAGAAGGACCCCCUAAGUCCAACAUGACUGACACUUAUACUGACUGUAUAUAAUAUUACGUACUAGUAACGAUGUGAUAAGCGUUUGACAAAACGCUAGCAACCUUCAGCCUUGACAUUAUCGUAAUCUGUCACUCCAUAGCCUUCCCUCCUAAAGGGUCUAGCUCGUCGCCUGAUCGUCAUAGAUCAAUCCAAAGAUGCAAGACAAAAAGAAUACAGGGCUAAGAUUUACGUACAAGUUUAAAAGUGGGAAUAGGAUGUAAAAUAGUAAUAUAUAUAUAUAUAUAUAUAUAUAUGACAACCACAAUUAUUCGAACAAGCGUAUCUUUAUCCCAUAUUUACCUAUACUCUAUAAGUGUUUAUCUAAUGCAUCCCUGAACUAUAUGCUGACUUCAGGCCACUAAACGUUGUCAAUGAUACCUAUCCCAUUUACCAAGAUCAGAUAUCACAAGACCACAUGCCACCAACGUACUCCCAAUUACCAAGAGCUACGCCACCUACUUCACAUAGAGUCCAGGUGUUAUAAGUCGAUCGUCCCUGAGGAUUCAGGCCAAGACCCUCGUCUUGCCUAGCAUGCAUAAAUAAUAAUCCUCGUUGGGAUUGUAGGCGACUGAUCAACCUCGUACGUCCCAUACCGCACGGCAGUGGACUUACACAUUCCUCAAUGCAUGUCUAUAUAAUCACUCAACCAUCUUGUAGCAACUCUCAACCAUAAGUAUUUAGUUAAUAUUUGGGAAAUAUCUUAUCAACCUUUCAGGUCAUACUUAUUAUCUAAUUACUUCAAUUGAUUGCCAAAUCCAUUAAUGUCUUGUCUAUUUCUCCUUGGCGUGAUCCUUAUCUCUAUAUAAUCAGUUCAGUUUAUACAGUGAAUAAUGUAUGGUUGAUUUCCCAGGUAAGAGAGGUGGAUCGUAAAGGACAUGGUCAAUCAAGUCUUUUCCUUAGCCAGAACCCAACCGAAUACAACUACUCAAUGUAUCCAACUUCCCUUAUUUCAUUGGGGAUCUAACACUUAAUAUCUAAUCAAUGUUGUUAUUUCUCUCCUUAAUAGAUCAUUUUCUUAGUCUAUCAAUCACAAUCAUUCAAGUAUAAAUAAAAUAAACAAUUAGACAAUUAAUCAAACAAUGUAAGCACAAUACAACCUCAAAUUUUCAUAGAUCAUUCUUAUGAUAAAUAAUUAAGGUCGGCAUAACCUCGCUUAGUGAUUUGGGAAAAACAUUAUUCGAGAAUAGGCUCUCCUUACUUAUUUAUCGCUAGUAGGGCUUGGGUCACCACUACACACAUAUAUAUAUUAAGCUAUUUUACGCUAACCGUCCCAACGUAUACGAGACCUUGCCCCCACCUUUUGUUGUUGAUCGUUGUUGAAAGUCCACGAGCGUUUUCUCUGAUGUUUGCCCAGAACCUAAAUAUAUAUAUUAAGCUAUUUUACGCUAACCGUCCCAACGUAUACGAGACCUUGCCCCCAC